rnacentral:rRNA from 1 species
CUACGGGACGCACCAGUGAGGAAUAUUGCACAAUGGGGGGAACCCUGGUGCAGCAACGCCGCGUGGAGGAUGACGCAUUUCGGUGUGUAAACUCCUUUUAUAUGUCAAGAAAAUGACGGUAGCAUAUGAAUAAGCACCGGCUAACUCCGUGCCAGCAGCCGCGGUAAUACGGAGGGUGCAAGCGUUACUCGGAAUCACUGGGCGUAAAGGACGCGUAGGCGGGUUGGAAAGUCAGGUGUGAAAUCCUACAGCUUAACUGUAGAACUGCACUUGAAACUUCUGAUCUAGAGUAUGGGAGGGGGAGAUGGAAUUAGUGGUGUAGGGGUAAAAUCCGUAGAUAUCACUAGGAAUACCUAAAGCGAAGGCGAUCUCCUGGAACAUUACUGACGCUAAGGCGUGAAAGCGUGGGGAGCAAACAGGAUUAGAUACCCCCGUAGUC